rnacentral:rRNA from 1 species
AUUGAACGCUGCGGCAGGCUUAACACAUGCACGUCGAGCGAGCGGCGGACGGGUGAGUCAUGCUUAGGUAUCUGUCUAUUAGUGGGGGACAACUUCCCGAAAGGGAUGCUAAUUCCUCAUACUAAUAAAUGGGCCUAAGUCGGUUUAGCUAGUUGGUGGGGUAAAGGCCUACCAAGGUGACGAACUGUAGCGGGGCUGAGAGGCUGAUCCGCCACACUGGGACUGAGAAACGGCCCAGACGCCUACGGGAGGCAGCAGUGGGGAAUAUUGGACAAUGGGGGGAAACCUGAUCCAGCCAUGCGGCGUGGGUGAAGAAGGCCUUAUGGUUGGAAAGCACUUUAAGCGAGGAGGCGUUACUCGCAGAAUAAGCACCGGCUAACUCUGUGCCAGCAGCCGCGGUAAUAC